CGCUGUAGCGUCGUGCCUAUACUCGGCCGUCAACGGCACAGGGGGCGGCACCCUCGCGGGUGCCGGGCCGUUAUGCCUUGACGAGUAGGAGGGUCGCGGCGGUGUGCGCAGAAGGGUCUGGGCGUGAGCCUGCCUGGAGCCACCGUCGGCGCAGAUCUUGGUGGUAGUAGCAAAUACUCCAGCGAGGACCUGGAGGACUGACGUGGAGAAGGGUUUCUUGUGAACAGCUGUUGCACAAGAGUCAGUCGAUCCUAAGCCCUAGGAGAAAUCCUAUGUCGAUGGGAAGCCGUUGAAGAUGGAAGGCGCUCUUUGCGCUCUUGUCAUUGGAAGGCGACCCACGGGGCGAAAGGGAAUCCGGUUCCUAUUCCGGAACCCGGCUGCGGAACCGUUCAUAAGCGGGCCCUCAUCCGAGAGCUCGACGGGGCAACCCGAAGAGACCCGGAGACGCCGGCGGGAGGUCCGGAGAGAGUUUUCUUUUCUCUAUAAGCGUUCGAGUUCCCUGGAAGCCUAUAGCAGGGAGAUAGGGUUUGGAACGCGAAGAGCACCGCAGUUGCGGCGGUGUCCGGAUCUUCCCCUCGGACCUUGAAAAUCCGGGAGAGGGCUACGCGGAAUGUCCGCGCCGGAUCGUACCCAUAUCCGCAGCAGGUCUCCAAGGUUAAGAG
rnacentral:rRNA from 1 species